CGUGGAUGUUGGAUACAUUUUCUUCUGGAAGCUGGUUUCAUAUGGUGUCUUAGAUUGUGUCUGUGCUGAUUCUAGCACCAUUUGAAAUCAGUGUUCUAGGAGGAAGAAUAGCAACAAAGUGGAU
rnacentral:pre_miRNA from 17 species